UGGGGAAUAUUGCACAAUGGGCGCAAGCCUGAUGCAGCCAUGCCGCGUGUAUGAAGAAGGCCUUCGGGUUGUAAAGUACUUUCAGUCGGGAGGAAGGUGUCAAGGUUAAUAACCUUGGCAAUUGACGUUACCGACAGAAGAAGCACCGGCUAACUCCGUGCCAGCAGCCGCGGUAAUACGUAGGGCGCGAGCGUUGUCCGGAAUUAUUGGGCGUAAAGGGCUUGUAGGCGGCUUGUUGCGCCUGCUGUGAAAACGCGGGGCUUAACUUCGCGCGUGCAGUGGGUACGGGCAGGCUUGAGUGUGGUAGGGGUGACUGGAAUUCCAGGUGUAGCGGUGGAAUGCGCAGAUAUCUGGAGGAACACCGAUGGCGAAGGCAGGUCACUGGGCCAUUACUGACGCUGAGGAGCGAAAGCAUGGGUAGCGAACAGG
rnacentral:rRNA from 1 species